AUGCAACUGACGAGUCCAAAAUAGGACGAAAUGCGUGUUCUGGAU
rnacentral:hammerhead_ribozyme from 1 species